UACGAAGGGGGCUAGCGUUGCUCGGAAUUACUGGGCGUAAAGAGCUCGUAGGUGGUUUGUCGCGUUGUUCGUGAAAACUCACAGCUCAACUGUGGGCGUGCGGGCGAUACGGGCAGACUUGAGUACUGCAGGGGAGACUGGAAUUCCUGGUGUAGCGGUGAAAUGCGCAGAUAUCAGGAGGAACACCGGUGGCGAAGGCGGGUCUCUGGGCCGAUACUGACGCUGAGGAGCGAAAGCGUGGGGAGCGAACAGG
rnacentral:rRNA from 1 species